CGGUCCAGACUCCUACGGGAGGCAGCAGUGGGGAAUAUUGCACAAUGGGCGCAAGCCUGAUGCAGCCAUGCCGCGUGUAUGAAGAAGGCCUUCGGGUUGUAAAGUACUUUCAGCGGGGAGGAAGGUGUUGCGGUUAAUAACCGCAGCAAUUGACGUUACCCGCAGAAGAAGCACCGGCUAACUCCGUGCCAGCAGCCGCGGUAAUACGGAGGGUGCAAGCGUUAAUCGGAAUUACUGGGCGUAAAGCGCACGCAGGCGGUC
rnacentral:rRNA from 1 species